rnacentral:rRNA from 1 species
GUCCACGCCCUAAACGAUGUCUACUAGUUGUUGGGUCUUAAUUGACUUAGUAACGCAGCUAACGCGUGAAGUAGACCGCCUGGGGAGUACGGUCGCAAGAUUAAAACUCAAAGGAAUUGACGGGACCCGCACAAGCGGUGGAUGAUGUGGAUUAAUUCGAUGCAACGCGAAAACCUUACCUACCCUUGACAUGGAUGGAAUCCUGGAGAGAUCCGGGAGUGCUCGAAAGAGAACCAUCACACAGGUGCUGCAUGGCUGUCGU